CCCUACAAAAAGACCACAAGAUAGAACAGAGGAGGCCAAGCACAGUCAUGUGUACCAACGCAGAGUCCGCCACACUGCGGAGCAGCUCAGAGGGCCCAGCCUGAAGGCCCCAGUAACUAGGCUGUCAUCUGCCCCCCACACUCCCCGGACACAGCUUCUAUUCCCCUUUAUUUUUAUGUUUUGUUUUUGAGUUUACUAUUUUACACAAGGCCAAUGGGCAAGUUCAGAUUCUUCUAGAAAACAUAGCAGAUACGGGAACUUCUGUGAUUUUUUUUAAAAAGAGAGAUGGGCUGUGGUUUCAUAGUGCUCAACAUGGCAAUUGCUCAUACAGAUGUGGCUUUGACCAGUUUCCCACACACAUGCACACACAUCAAAAAAUGUUAAAUUAUUUGAGAACAUUUGAGACCCUUAAGUCACUUGCUAGGCUGUAAAAUCAAUUUCUACACUGCUCUAAGAAAUACUGACUUGUUCUUCAUUUGGAGAUUUCUUCAGCUGUUUCAUUUAAGUCCACUUGUAUGAAAUACAUGUCUAUGUUUACAGGUUUCCAAAGACUUCUUUUGAAUUAUAACAAGAUUAACCAGAAUUUACUUUUGAGGUUGGAAUGAACUGGAAAGAGGAAUCCGUCCUUUCCUCCCCCUCCGGACGAGCUCAAGCCCUAGUGUAAAUGAGGACAGCUGUGAACGCCUACAGCACCAGCCCGUGGCUGAAGCAGGAGGAUGGCUGUGAAUGCCUACAGCACCAGCCCGUGGCUGAAGCAGGAGGAUGGCUGUGCACGCCUACAGCACCACCCCGUGGCUGAAGCAGGAGGACGGCUGUGAACGCCUACAGCACCAGCCUGUGGCUGAAGCAGGAGGACGUUCUUUAUCAAACUGUAGCAUUGUGCUGUGAGAUUGUGAGCCCCCUCUGAUGAGGAAACUGGUUAACAAUGGCUAAAAGAAGCACCUGAGAGCCUGAGUCUGGGACAGACCUGUGAAGCUCAGCCCUGGCUGCUGCCAUAGAGCUUUUGAGCAAUUCUGAGUGGUCCUUCUGCAUCCCCGAGUCUUUUACGAUUUCUGGCAAGAGUUUGUGGGUGAGUUUUCAAGUAAGGCCUUGAAGGGAACCAGAGAGUGGGGCUCUCACAUUCUUGCAUCGAUGUGCUAGACAUUCAUUGCAAGACUAUUAACACCAGUAUUCAGAAUGAUUUGUUCUGUCAAGUGCUUUUCUUGGGAAAUAUGGUUAGUUCUUCAAACGCUUCUGAGAGACUAAGGAAUUCUGGUAAAGACAGUAUUGAUCUUAGUCUUCCAACUCAAGUAGAAAAAGAGCUUGGAUAGAAACACCCAUCAGUGCUAGGGUGCUGCCAAAACCUCACUCCUCCCUGUCACAUGACAGCUGGAAAGAACAGGCCUGAACGCUGAGAGGCGCUCUAAACACUGGUUUGACUUCCAGGCAAUACAAAGACAGGCAGCUUAGGAGUGACCCCCACGGAAUCGCAGGGGAGGAUGAGGCCUCGAAGGUAUGAGGUUCCUUUUAGAAGAAGGGAAACAUUGUGGUAAUGGUCUGACAAUUCGGUGAACGUGUCAGGAGUCAAUGAACCAUAUUCUUUGCACUAUAUUUUAAUAGCAGUGUUAAAGACAACAAUGUACUUCUAUUUAAUUCUAAAAUGAAAAAUCUAUUUAAUAUUAUAAUAUUAUAAGCCAAAGACUUAUUUU